rnacentral:tRNA from 1 species
GGUAGUGUGGCCAAGAGGUCUAAGGUGCUGGAUCAAGGCUCCAGUCUCUUCUGGAGUGUGGGUUCAAAUCCCACAGUUGCCA